GACGAACGCUGGCGGCGUGCUUAACACAUGCAAGUCGAACGGAAAGGCCCUGCUUUUGUGGGGUGCUCGAGUGGCGAACGGGUGAGUAACACGUGAGUAACCUGCCCUUGACUUUGGGAUAACUUCAGGAAACUGGGGCUAAUACCGGAUUGGAGCUCCUGCUGCAUGGUGGGGGUUGGAAAGUUUCGGCGGUUGGGGAUGGACUCGCGGCUUAUCAGCUUGUUGGUGGGGUAGUGGCUUACCAAGGCUUUGACGGGUAGCCGGCCUGAGAGGGUGACCGGCCACAUGGGGACUGAGAUACGGCCCAGACUCCUACGGGAGGCAGCAGUGGGGAAUAUUGCACAAUGGGCGGAAGCCUGAGGCAGCAACGCCGCGUGCGGGAUGACGGCCUUCGGGUUGUAAACCGCUUUCGCCUGUGACGAAGCGUGAGUGACGGUAAUGGGUAAAGAAGCACCGGCUAACUACGU
rnacentral:rRNA from 1 species